rnacentral:rRNA from 1 species
CAAGAUUAAGCCAUGCAUGUCUAAGUAUAAACAACUUUAUACCGUGAAACUGCGAACGGCUCAUUAUAUCAGUAAUUAUUUAUUUGAUGGUACCUUACUACAUGGAUAACCGUAGUAAUUCUAGAGCUAAUACAUGCAUAAAGUCCCAACUUUCGGGGAGGGAUGUAUUUAUUAGAUACAAAAUCAAUCCGGGCAACCGGCUCUUUGGUGAUUCAUAAUAACUGUUCGAAGCGCAUGCCCUUGUGGUGGCGCUAGUUCAUUCAAAUUUCUGCCCUAUCAGCUUUCGACGGUAGUGUAGUGGACUACCGUGGCAGUGACGGGUGACGAGGAAUUAGGGUUUGAUUUCGGAGAGGGAGCCUGAGAAAUGGCUACCACAUCCAAGGAAGGCAGCAGGCGCGCAAAUUACCCAAUCCUGACACAGGGAGGUGGUGACAAAAAAUAACAAUACCGGGCGUUUACACGUCUGGUAAUUGGAAUGAGUACAAUGUAAAUACCUUAACGAGUAUCCAUUGGAGGGCAAGUCUGGUGCCAGCAGCCGCGGUAAUUCCAGCUCCAAUAGCGUAUAUUAAUGUUGCUGCAGUUAAAAAGCUCGUAGUUGGAUUUCUGAUAUUGAAUGCCUGACCGGCUGCGUUCGCGUUAGUCAGUGUUGGGAGAUUCAUAUCAUCCUUCUAGAGAAUAUAUGGGUACUUCACUGUAUUCAUAUACAAUCUAGAUCUUUUACUUUGAAAAAAUUAGAGUGUUUAAGGCAAGCUUAUGCUGUGAAUACAUUAGCAUGCAAUAAUAAUCUAGGACUUUGGUCC